GCCACCUCUCCCCACCCUUCCCACUCUCCCAACUUUCACCGGCGGCGGCGGAUGGGAGGAGAGCAAGAAUACCACUGGAUUCCAUCACCAGCGAGUGGAUCAUCAUCUGGCCCUGGAUGGGACUUUGCCAGAAGGGACUCGCACCCCCCAUCCUGCACCCCCGUCUCCGCAGCCGGCUGCUUUCGCGGCCUUCGACGACGACUGGGGCGACUUUGUGGCGAGCUCCCUCGGAUUCGGCCCGGAUGGCCUGUCCGCACCCGCCAUCCCGCCUACGGGCGGGAAGUCAGCCGCCGGCGCCUGGCAAAAGCCCCGUCGUCGGCCUCUACGGAUCUCAGCCUCCGCCCACCCCCGACGCACCAGAGCCGGGGCGCUGGAGGAGGGGGGCGAUGACGGGUUUGGAGAUGAUGGUUGGGAAUUCAAGGCCGCCCCCUCCUCUGAUGCUGGCCAGGAUGGAGCCGGACAAGCGGAUGGGGAUGGAAUUGAGUCUGAAUCUUUUCAUACUCUCAGGGUAUGCCAAAAUCAUUGGGCAGUGACCAGAAAGAUUGGUCACUAUUUACUGGUGUCAGUAAUUAACUGAACCAAAACCAGACUACAAAUCAUGAGUCCACGGGACAGUGUGUGAAGACCUUCAGUUUUUCUCCAGAUAGUUCAUCCAUACUCAGCUUGUACAAAGAAUCUAACUUUGUUGACGCUGUUCACGUUCCUGAAAGUUGUUCUGGAAGUGUACUGAGCUCUUUUGAUAUGUUCUCUAACAAUGAAGUGAACUCUUCGUUUGGAACAGAUGAAAACCACUCCAUUAAAUCAGGAAGCGACAACAUUUUGGUUGAUUUCUACCAUAAGCUGAGAGAAGAAUCCAUGGCAAUGGAGUCCCAGAAGAGUUCUGCACAUUCUAAUGGAAACAAAAAAGAGACAGCAAUCGAAAGGGAGAUCCAGGAAAUCUGGGAGAAACUAAGAGAUUCUUUGCUGGUACAUGGUUGUGCCGAAGUAUGCCGGUAACCUCACCAACUAGCCAAAGACGUUACCACACAUCAGGGGUGUUGGUGCACUAAAGUUUGGGCCUUCAGUCCCCUUACUUCUGCACGGACAGUCGUAGCCGCACCCGCGACAAGGCUUGCCGGGAGACCGUGGAAGACAAAGCCGAAGACAUCCAAGUCAACAAGACCGAGGGAGGAGCUAGUGAAGCCCGACAAGGCAUGCUCCUGGCAAGAUUCCACUUCGUCACCGCUCGAGUGCAGCGAGUUUCGUCGCUGUUGGUGACCCCUUUGAUAUAUAAAAGGAGGCCCUUUUAGCUUUUCAGUACGUAGUUGUUGUGCAUGGCAUAACGCUCCUGUAGCUCGAAUCCUAGAACACACACAAUACAUAAAGCAGGAUUAGGGUUUGGCACACAAUACAUAAAGCAGGAUUAGUGUUUUACGCCCAAACCUGGGUAAAA